GGAGGGCUGUGGCUCAGUGCUAGAACAUCUGGUUUGCAUGCAAAAGGUCCUAGCUUCAAUCCCCAGCAUCUCCA